rnacentral:tRNA from 1 species
CCCCUGAUAGCUCAGUUGGUAAAGAAUCUGCCUGCAAUGCAGGAGACCCUGGUUUGAUUCCUGGGUUGGGAA